rnacentral:rRNA from 1 species
AGAGUUUGAUCCUGGCUCAGAUUGAACGCUGGCGGCAUGCUUUACACAUGCAAGUCGGACGGCAGCACAGAGAAGCUUGCUUCUUGGGUGGCGAGUGGCGAACGGGUGAGUAACAUAUCGGAACGUACCGAGUAAUGGGGGAUAACUAAUCGAAAGAUUAGCUAAUACCGCAUAUUCUCUGAGGAGGAAAGCAGGGGACCUUCGGGCCUUGCGUUAUUCGAGCGGCCGAUAUCUGAUUAGCUAGUUGGUGGGGUAAAGGCCUACCAAGGCGACGAUCAGUAGCGGGUCUGAGAGGAUGAUCCGCCACACUGGGACUGAGACACGGCCCAGACUCCUACGGGAGGCAGCAGUGGGGAAUUUUGGACAAUGGGCGCAAGCCUGAUCCAGCCAUGCCGCGUGUCUGAAGAAGGCCUUCGGGUUGUAAAGGACUUUUGUCAGGGAAGAAAAGGCUGUCGCUAAUACCGACAGUUGAUGACGGUACCUGAAGAAUAAGCACCGGCUAACUACGUGCCAGCAGCCGCGGUAAUACGUAGGGUGCGAGCGUUAAUCGGAAUUACUGGGCGUAAAGCGAGCGCAGACGGUUACUUAAGCAGGAUGUGAAAUCCCCGGGCUUAACCUGGGAACUGCGUUCUGAACUGGGUGACUAGAGUGUGUCAGAGGGAGGUAGAAUUCCACGUGUAGCAGUGAAAUGCGUAGAGAUGUGGAGGAAUACCGAUGGCGAAGGCAGCCUCCUGGGAUGACACUGACGUUCAUGCUCGAAAGCGUGGGUAGCAAACAGGAUUAGAUACCCUGGUAGUCCACGCCCUAAAC